GAAAUGCGAUAAGUAAUGUGAAUUGCAGAAUUCAGUGAAUCAUCGAAUCUUUGAACGCACCUUGCGCUCCUUGGUAUUCCUUGGAGCAUGCGUGUCUGAGUAUCAUGAAAUCUUCAAAGUAAAUCUUUUGUUAACUCAAUUGGCUUCUACUUUGGUAUUGGAGGUCUUUGCAGCUUCACACCUGCUCCUCUUUGUUCAUUAGCUGGAUCUCAGUGUUAUGCUUGGUUCCACUCGGCGUGAUAAGUUAUCUAUCGCUGAGGACACUGUAAAAGGUGGCCAAGGUAAAUGCAGAUGAACCGCUUCUAAUAGUCCAUUGACUUGGACAAUACUUUUAUGAUCUGAUCUCAAAUCAGGUAGGACUACCCGCUGAACUUAAGC
rnacentral:misc_RNA from 1 species